GACGAACGCUGGCGGCGUGCUUAACACAUGCAAGUCGAACGAAGAGCGAUGGAAGCUUGCUUCUAUCAAUCUUAGUGGCGAACGGGUGAGUAACGCGUAAUCAACCUGCCCUUCAGAGGGGGACAACAGUUGGAAACGACUGCUAAUACCGCAUACGAUCUAAUCUCGGCAUCGAGGAUAGAUGAAAGGUGGCCUCUACAUGUAAGCUAUCACUGAAGGAGGGGAUUGCGUCUGAUUAGCUAGUUGGAGGGGUAACGGCCCACCAAGGCGAUGAUCAGUAGCCGUUCGGAGAGUAUGAGCGGCCGCAUUGGGAGUGAGACACGCCCAAGACUCCUACGGGAGGAGGCAGUGGGGAGUCUACCGCAAGGGACGAAAGUGUGAGGAGGCAGCGCGGCGUGCGGAAUGAGGACCUUCGGGUUGUAAAGCUCUGUUAUCGGGGAGGAAAGCCCUUCUGGCAAAUAGUGAGAAGGAUUGACGGUACCGGAAAAAAAAGCCAGGGCUAACUAGGUG
rnacentral:rRNA from 1 species